UCAACGGCCCUUUUCAGAGCCACACAUAAAGUACUCAACAGCUCUU
rfam:Trachymyrmex septentrionalis contig12005, whole genome shotgun sequence.